rnacentral:rRNA from 1 species
UGAUUCUUCAGCUCUUUCUGUACCUGGCUGUCUAUACUAGGCUCUACGAUAUCUCUAUAUACACCACGUAUGUUAAUGAACGCAAUAAAUGGGCCCAUAAAGCCUAUAAACCUAUAAUACAACUUUCAGCAACGGAUCUCUUGGCUCUGGCAUCGAUGACGCACGCAGCGAAAUGCGAUAAGUAAUGUGAAUUGCAGAAUUCAGUGAAUCAUCGAAUCUUUGAACGCACCUUGCGCUCCUUGGUAUUCCGAGGAGCAUGCCUGUUUGAGUGUCAUUAGAUUCUCAAUCUCUACAACUUUGUGUUGUCUAGAUUGGAAGUGGGGGUCUCUUGUGUGGAAUUCAAUUUUCUCACUCCCCUUAAAUGCAUUAGCUGGGAAUGCCUCUGCAUAUCUGACUAUCAGUGUGAUAAUUAUCUAUGCUGUAGUUGUUGCAUGAGGGUAUCUACUUCAUCAAUCGUCGCAAGACAAUUAUUGACCAUCUUGACCUCAAAUCAGGUAGGACUACCCGCUGAACUUAAGCAUAUCAAUAAGCGGAGGAACGC